CUCUCCGCGCAAUGAGGGAUCUUGGGUACUCUCAGUUUAAAGACUGUGAGGCAACGGCAGAAUUCGUUGAGAUGAUCGACAGGCUAUUUGACCUAAUGAAUAGGCGCAAUCCUCGUGCAAAAGGAUUCAAAGCUCCCUUUGGUGCUCUAAAUUGGGUGAAGCAAAAAGCAGUUUUGUCAAGAGCCAGGGAGUACUUGCUCACUUUAGUGACAAGAGAUGGAACACCCCUUCACAGAUCCAAGAGGUCUAAUAGAAUAUUGCUUGUUGUUCAUGCAUGAAAAGUUCAUGACAUGAGUUCCAUGUCGCACUGUUCCCUUGUGCAUCGAGUUCCUAAGAUGCUGCAUUCUCUAUAUCAGUGUGUUUCAGGUCCUGAAUGCUUCUAAAUGGUUUGCAUAACACAAGAUCAACGUUAUGCAGAUGUCAGAGGGAUGGUACCUGUCUGUCAUUGGAUUUGUCAUCAAUAUUGACACUCUGAUGCUGAUGAUUCCUGAAUUCCUCCAAGUACAGCGGUAUGUGCUCACCUACAGGUUCAGCCAGGAUCACUUGGAGCUCCUAUUUAAUUUCAUCAGAGCAGCAGGCGGUUGGAAUAACAAUCCAUCUGCACGCCAGUUCCAGGCCAUCUUCCGCCGUCUAAUGGUCCGGUGUGGUGUCUCACCGAGUGAGACCGGCAAUGUGGCUUCUCAAGAUGACACUGUGUCCCUGUCUGCUGUAGAGAUGUCCACAGAAGAAACUACAGAGGAGCACCCAUCUCCAUUUGCCAACAUUUCAGCUAUCUUGUGUGACCACAGCUAUCUUCCCACUCGGUUUGAUGGUCUGGUGGAAAAUGCUCUGGUCUACAUAGCAGGGUUUGUAGUCCGGCAGAUUCUUCGAAAGCUGUCCUGUGAUGUGCCAUGCAAGCUUGGUCAGAGAUGCUGGACCAUCAUCAUUUGAUGAGAGCUACCACCUUUUUAGCCCUGAAAAACAACGGCGGCUUAGUAAUUCCAUCACAUGGCACAGUGAAGGUGCUAAGAGCUGCAGAAAGGGUCAUUCGCCAGGCUUCAACAAAGCGAGCUCCAAAGGUGUCAACAGUCACACACAUAGUCCAGGAAGAGGUUGGAACGGACAACGUUUUUCUGCUUGGGGAGCACAUUGAGGAGACACAGUUUGGUAUUGACAACCAUCAUUCCAACUUGUUGCCAUUGGUUGUGUUUGUGUUUCUCAAUAUAAGGCUGCACCACAUUGCCAAACUGUCUACCCUUGAACUGCAAAAAGGUAGCACAAGGAAAAAAAUGAGCAAAACAGUCCUCUUUCAGGGGUUUUAGCUCUAAAGCCUCUGUGCGAUACUUUGUACAUUUGUAAAUAUGGUUUGAGAUGAGGAUGAUGUGUUCAUAUGUUAACUUGAGAAUAUACAUGUGCAUUACAUUUUAUUCUCUAUGUGCUUUGUACAGCCUUAAAGGCUUCUCUUUUUCUCUGCGUAGUAAAUCAGUUCUCUGCAUGACUGUUGUAUACAUUUUCCAUUUCUCUGGUAUAGAUCUUUAAUCUACAUUUGUAUGAAUGAUAUUGAUACGCUGUA